UUGAUACUCCCUCCGUCCUGAACUAGUUGUCAUAGAUUUGUCAGAUGCGGAUGUAUCUAGACACGUUUCAUUUUUAGAUACAUCCGUAUUAGAAAAAUCUUAGACAACUAAUUUGGGACGGAGGUAAUACUAU
rfam:Triticum aestivum genome assembly, contig: Triticum_aestivum_CS42_TGACv1_scaffold_643173_T_4AL-0.298735_4DS-0.209126